CUACACCUCCGAGAGCCCUGCUUCCUGUGCAAGGCUGUCUCUACGUCUCCUAGGCAGUCUGUGGUCUCACGACGGCCUUUGGCCCACCUAGCAUAGAGCUUUUAUGCCAAGUGCUCCCCAGAAAGAGAUGACACCCUGGACCUAAUCAUAUACUUUGGAUCAAAUUUUAUAUGGCUGUGAAUUUGUUUCCUAAUUACCUACGUUCAAAACCUUGAAUAAUUACAAAGACAAAAGGCACAUAAAAGCAAAAUAAAAAUUUCCCUCCUGGCUUUGUGUCAUUAAGGGGCCACCCAUUCCCAUUUUAAGACAAAG
ensembl:lncRNA LOC120096727 uncharacterized LOC120096727